rnacentral:tRNA from 1 species
AUCUGGGUGGCUCAGUGGUUGAGCAUCUGCCUUCAGCUCAGGUCAUGAUCUUGGGAUCCUGGGAUCAAGUCCCACCCACAUU